CGGGUGCACUGAUCCAGCCGGGCCUUUCCCUCUGUGGAACCCCAUGGCCUUCACUGGCUGUGGUGGGGAAACAGGACUUUUACUUUGAAAAAAUUAGAGUGCUCCAGGCAGGCCUAUGCUCGAAUACAUUAGCAUGGAAUAAUAGAAUAGGACGUGUGGUUCUAUUUUGUUGGUUUCUAGGACCGCCGUAAUGAUUAAUAGGGACAGUCGGGGGCAUCAGUAUUCAAUUGUCAGAGGUGAAAUUCUUGGAUCUAUUGAAGACUAACUACUGCGAAAGCAUUUGCCAAGGAUGUUUUCAUUGAUAAGGAACGAAAGUUAGGGGAUCGAAGACGAUCAGAUACCGUCGUAGUCUUAACUAUAAACUAUGCCGACUAGGGAUCGGACGAUGUUAUUCUUUGACGCGUUCGGCACCUUUCGAGAAAUCAAAGUGCUUGGGCUCCAGGGGGAGUAUGGUCGCAAGGCUGAAACUUAAAGAAAUUGACGGAAGGGCACCACCAGGGGUGGAACCUGCGGCUUAAUUUGACUCAACACGGGGAAACUCACCAGGUCCAGACACAGUGAGGAUUGACAGAUUGAGAGCUCUUUCUUGAUUCUGUGGGUGGUGGUGCAUGGCCGUUCUUAGUUGGUGAAGUGAUUUGUCUGCUUAAUUGCGAUAACGAACGAGACCUUAACCUGCUAAAUAGCCCGUACUGCUUUGGCAGUUCGCCGGCUUCUUAGAGGGACUAUCGG
rnacentral:rRNA from 1 species